UGAUUCCGGUUGAAAUUAGCAGGAUAGUUCUUCACACGUAGCAGUGGAGUAGUGCUCACUUAUACAAUUGUAAUCGCCGCAAUGGAUAUGUGAUUCAUUCUGAAAGUUAUCAGCAAUAUGUUUGCGAUUGUGACGACUCAGGUGACCGAAGCAGACAACAUCUGCCGCUGUUAGGUGAGCACAAACAUGCACGCGUAGGCAAACCAGUAGGUUUGAAAAAAAACAAAAACAGUAGGGACGUAACACCGGCUUCGGUUCGGAGAGACUGGACGAGGAUGUCCGGGGCCCUGCCAAUAUCCCUCUGACCAGCUGCUGUGGUUGGAAUACCUGUUCAGGCAGAGCACGGGUACGGACCCUUCUCUCUGAAGGACACCGUCAAUGAUGGACCUUGUCCAGAGGAGGCGGUUCAGCAUGGGCUGCCCGAUCCAGAUCCAGGGGCCGACGAGGCGUACCAGAGCGACGGGGAGGCUCGUGCCAUCCUGCCGCACAUUAACCUCACCAGCAAUGAAACCCCAGUGUUCACCCUCCAGCAUCUCUUGUCAACACUCCAAAACCUGCUUCGAAAGGCUGGAAAAGUUCUGCUGUGCUAUAAAUCAGACAAGCUGACUCUUUCCGCUGAGCAGAGGAACGAGGUCCUUGAAGUCUGGAACAAAGUGGAGGAGCACGAGAAGCAGCCGCAGCAGUUCAACCAGCUGUAAAGAACUUACUGGACCAUCGGCCUGUACUGCAGCACAAAGAACAUCUGGUUGAUGCUGCUGUGAUCCAGAGGGACGCAGCCCUCCAGGACCCGAUUUGGAGGACACAUCUGAUUCGCCCUUUGCAGCCCAGCAUAUCCCAUCGUGCAGUGCGGGCCGACGAGGAUUUAAUGUAUUCAAGAUGGAAGCAGUUCAGCCGACAGCGGGGAAGAGUCCCCCUUAAAUGUAACAUAAUAUAACGCACUCGAAUAUUUACAGAUAUAAAUGUUAUAUAACAUCACAUCUUAACAUAUUGAAUUACUAGGUUUUUUUUUUCGCUUUUGUUUUUUUUGGAUGAAACCGGUCACAGAGAGCAUGUCCUUCUGUAGUUUUUGUGACAGGAUGGGCCAAUAUCCACGGAUUGGCAUCUUCUGGCGAUGGUCCAACGAGGGAAUGACCGCUUAGGUUGUUCACCCGCGGCAUUUUCAGCUCCAAUUUUUUCUCUGAAGCAAGUGCCAAGUUCUCCUUUGUUGGGGGACACAAGCGUCCUUCAUUCGGUUGGAAAAACGGUUGUUUGCUUCAAUUGUUCAUGUGUCUGGCUACAGAAACCUCUGAUAUUAAGCAUGUGGGAAAUGCUUUGAAGCUAAGCAGUCCAUCAACGUGGUCACUGGCAGACUGCCCACAACAGGAAGUUUACGUAGUAAACUACUCCAUGAGUGCAGGAGAAAUGCAAUAUACCACCUGUUAAUUAAAUAAAAACAUAAGCGUAUUCAAGAUAA